GACAGAGGAUGCAAGCGUUAUCCAGAAUGAUUGGGCGUAAAGCGUCUGUAGGGGGCUUUUCAAGUCCGCCGUCAAAUCCUAGGGCUCAGUCCUGGACAGGCAGUGGAAACUACCAAGCUAGAGUACAGUAGGGGCAGAGGGAAUUUCCGGUGGAGCAGUGAAAAGCAUUGAGAUCGGAAAGAACACCAAUGGCGAAAGCACUCUGCUGGGCCAACACUGACACUGAGAGACGAAAGCUAGGGGAGCAAAUGGG
rnacentral:rRNA from 1 species